rnacentral:lncRNA from 1 species
UGAUCCAGAUGCAUACUGGAAAAGUGUUAUUAAUGCUGAGGCAAUUCCAGAGGCAAUUCAGAGCCUUAUAAACAAGGGUUAUUUAGUAUCUCCUUUCUCCAUCAAGAAAGCUAGCAAUGCUGAAGAGAAGCAUUUGACCAGAGCCCAUGAAUCAGAAAAUUUACGCUUUCUCCCCUACGCUGACCACAAGGAUAAACCAGCCCAUGAAUCAGAAAAUUUACGCUUUCUCCCAUACGCUGACCACAAUGAUAAACCAGCCCAUGAAUCAGAAAAUUUACGCUUUCUCCCCUACGCUGACCACAAUGAUAAAUCAGCCCAUGAAUCAGAAAAUUUACGCGUUCUCCCCUACGCUGAUCACAAUGACAAACCAGCCCAUGAAUCAGAAAAUUUACGUUUUCUCCCCUACGCUGACCACAAGGACAAACCAACCCAUGAAUCAGAAAAUUUACACUUUCUCCCCUACGCUGACCACAAGGACAAACCAGCCCAUGAAUCAGAAAAUUUACGUUUUCUCCCCUACGCUGACCACAAGGACAAACCAGCCCAUGAAUCAGAAAAUUUACGCUUUAUUCCCUACGCUGAUCAUAAGGAUAAACCAGCCCAUAAAUCAGAAAAUUUACUCUUUAUUCCCUACGCUGAAAAUUAGUUGAAAAAUAACGUUCAACUAAAGACCUUGAAUGAUCAGAAAGGCUUAUUGUCUAAGCAUAUAUAUUCCAUGUGUGAUGAAUCUAGUUUGAAUGCAGGCGAGUCAUUGGAGGCCAGAUGCUACAAAAUAAUAACGACUAGCGUGGUACAAUUAGGCCUAUGGUUGUGAUUGUUAUCUAAAUUAAAAGUGAUUUGUGUCUGUAAUGUGUCUUAAUAUGUAUUUUGUGAUUGUGAUGAUAAAAACUAUCAGUUUGUUGUUUCUUUACCUAGAGGCUAGAUGAUUAGCCAAUUUACGUGCAUAAUUAUUUAGAAAUAAUUAGUCUGUUAUUCUUUGGGACUAACAACAGUAAAAUAGACCUACAAAGGAGAAAGGGU